UACGUAGGGUGCGAGCGUUAAUCGGAAUUACUGGGCGUAAAGCGUGCGCAGGCGGUGGCUCAAGCCAGGCGUGAAAUCCCCGGGCUUAACCUGGGAAUGGCGUUUGGGACUGGGUCGCUAGAGUGUGGCAGAGGGAGGUGGAAUUCCACGUGUAGCAGUGAAAUGCGUAGAGAUGUGGAGGAACACCGAUGGCGAAGGCAGCCCCCUGGGCUAACACUGACGCUCAUGCACGAAAGCGUGGGGAGCAAACAGG
rnacentral:rRNA from 1 species